rnacentral:lncRNA from 1 species
AAAUAAAUCUUUCUAUUUCAUCAGUGAAACAAAUUUCAAUUUUUAUGGUAGAUUUUUUUAAAAUGAAUGAAAGUAUAUUUAGAAAGUGAAAAGGAAGUUUUAGAAUUUCCUCUUUCUUCUUCCCUGUUUUUUUUUUUUUUGUUGUUGUUGUUGUUUGUUUCUUAAUAGUCCUGAAAUGGAAAGAAACUGUGUUCCAAAGAGGAGGACUAUGCUGGACCUGAAGCUAUACUUGCAAUUUUCCCAUUCUUGGCCAUUGUUGAUUAUAUCUCCAUGUAAAGACGCUUUUUUCUCUACCUUGAUGUUCCACACGCUUGCAUCUCAUUUGAAAAAGAAAAGGUCAAAAGCUAAAUGUGUACCAUCUUGGAGGUGAACUGCCUACCACGGUUGUCCCUGUCAGGGCUGCAGGGCACGGUGCAUCUCAGGUAUUCAGGGCCCUCUACUCCCUGUCUUCCCUCUGGCCAGGCACAACCCAGUGGCCAGGCUCAGCUGACCACUGGGACCCAGCUUUGGAAGUGGAGGAAGCUCAGAGCUGAGCUGUAAAGCUGUUCUCCAAGACCAUGCUGGCUGCUGACUCAAUCAGGUAUCUGGGCAACCCCACAAGGUCUUAGAAGAAUGGGUUCCUAUGGAGAGAAAACACAUGGAUGCUGUCUGGGCCUUCUGGAGACUAAAACACGGGAUGAUCCUACGGGAAAAAAACAUUCCGAAGAGUAAGGGGUAAAUGGGGUGCUAGGAUGAUGAACAGCCAUAACUAAAGACGAGGCUCAAAAAUAAAAAGGAAUAUAGGGAUCCCUGGGUGGCGCAGCGGUUUGGCGCCUGCCUUUGGCCCAGGGCGCGAUCCUGGAGACCCGGGAUCGAAUCCCACGUCGGGCUCCCGGUGCAUGGAGCUUGCUUCUCCCUCUGCCUGUGUCUCUGCCUCUCUCUCUCUCUCUCUCUCUCUCUCUCUGUGUGUGACUAUCAUAAAUAAAUAAAGAUUAAAAAAAAAAAGGAAUAUAAAAAUCCAAGAGAAAUUAAAGUUAGAGAUAAAAAUAACUGAAGCAAGAACUGAAUGCUAACAAAACAGACAAACGUUACAAGAAAAAGGUUUUCAGAAAGGAGGUGCAAGGGAAGUGGAGUGGGAGCCCCGCAAGGAAGGAAGCACACGCAUGGGAGAAGCAAAGGAGAAGCAUGAAGAGGCCUUUUCCUGAGCACACAGGCCGGGGGACUGCAGGGCUGUGACCCAACUCUCUCUCUGAACUGAUGAAUUCCUACGAUUGGGAUUGGUUGUGUCUUGUUUUAUAGGUCACAGCUCAUAGUAACUUGUAAACACUUGUAAAUACGAUAUUUUUCAUUAUUUUGAAAUAAAGCGCUCCCAAAUGCAAAUCGUCCCAGAUGAGCAAAUCUUCCCCCGAAACCAAAAAUCUUCAAUUUGUUCCAACUACGCAGGACCUAAGAAACACCUGUUUAGAGUGUAAUUGGGGUGUCUAUUUGGGACAAAUAGGGACUCUCUGGGGAAAGUAAAAGGGGAGAGAGGCUGGUUCCAGCCCUGCCAAGCUCAGUAGCUUUGGGCAUUGAUUGGAGCCCCGAGCUGUGCUUUAAAAUAGACAGAAGCAGGGCACCUGGGUGGCUCAGUGGUUGAGCAUCAGCCUUUGGCUCAGGUCGUGAUCCUGGGGUUCUGGAAUCGAGUCCCCCAUUGGGCUCCCCAGAGGGAGCCUGCUUCUCCCUCUGCCUAUGUCUCUGCCUCUCCUUCUGUGUCUCUCAUGAAUAAAUAAACAAAAUCUAAAAAAAUCAAAUAAAAUAGACAGAAGCUAGUGUGUGAGAUUCAAGCCUUCUCUAGAAAUGUGUUUACAAAACACUUGCUAGGGUUCAGAUGUUGCCACAAGAAAAGCUCUCUUUGCAGAAACUUAACCUCCUAUUUCCAGUUCCUCAGCUGUUCCCCAAAGCCCUUGUCCUCCACCCAGGGCACCCACAUGCAGGCUGACUGCUCAAGAACCCCUGUGAUUGGAGACAGCUUCCUUCACAGGAGAUGGCAGCAGCAAGCAGAGAUUGGGUAAGCAAACCUGGUGAGCCCCCUUAAUUAGCUUCUUUGUUUGUAUAAAUAUUGCCCCUUGGCCCUACUUACCAAUCCGCAGCCAUGAUGUGGCCUAAUCACAACCAUCAAUGGGGCCUGGGGCAGCCACCUCCUGCUCCUGCAAAGAGGGCUAUUUACAGUGGCCUUUGCAGGCAAUCCAUCUCCUUAGCAGUGGAAAGUCUCUGCAGCUCACGGUAGUCACUGGCUGUGAGCAAGGAAGCCCUUAGUGGUCAAUAGCAUUGGGCCUUCAGCGGCCCUGGCAGCAGCUCAGGGCUGUAGAUUAUGCACAAUUAAGAAAAUGCAUCUGUGUGAAACAAGGAGCAGCCCACAGGCCUGGGGACCAAGUCAGCAUGUCCUUGGCAUUUACUAGGUCCAGAUGUCUUUAUCUUCUGGGCAGGAAGUCAGAGUCUGUCCAGAUGGCAUCUUGAUUGCUUUCAGCCCAGCUGAUUAAAUUUCUAGGGCUGACAUCUCUU